GAGGGUAUAGCUCAAGUGGUAGAGUGCGUGCUUAGCAUGCACGAGGUCCUGGGUUCAUUCCCCAGUACCUCCU
rnacentral:tRNA from 1 species